UGUCUCCAGGACUCAACAAAGACCCUGAGAAUAAACCAUUGCUUCCUGGUAACAAUGGUGAAGUCCAAGUAUUAACCACUCUAGACCACAUCAAUGUAACAGUUGAUGCAUCAAAGGAGUCAGAAGACGACAGAACUCCUCCUCAUCCUGGUGAGUGAUUCAACUGAAUAGGAUGUUUUUAUGAAAAUUAAAAGUUCAAACUUAUUUCUUUGUGAUUUUAUCAGAGACUUCAGGUCGACCUGCUAAACCACCACGGCGUAUGUAUUAUUCAUGGCUAUUUAACGUAUGCAGCCUUUGACUUAAUCUGCAGGUAUUUUCAUAGAUUAAUCUGACAUUUUUCAGAAGGAGAAAUAAAAUCUGACAAAGACGAGGCCAGAGAUAAACCUGAGACGACAGGAGACGACAAAACUGAUCAUG